rnacentral:misc_RNA from 1 species
AAGUCGUAACAAGGUUUCCGUAGGUGAACCUGCGGAAGGAUCAUUACUGAGGUUACCGGAGGCGAGUUGUUUGGGUAGUUCGCUGCUGGCGCUCUUCGCGCAUGUGCACGGCUCUCCUUCUCGUCUUUGUUCCUUCUAUCAACCCCUGUGCACUAUAUUAGGAUCAGAGAGAAGCGCGUCAUUUAGGGAUUAACGUAGUAGUUGUGGGUCCGCCUGCGGCGAAAAGGUUAAUCUCGGCGCGUGGUACCUCGAAGUCCUUUAUCAUAAACCACCAUAACAUGUCUUGUCAGAAUGUUCAGUCCCUCGUUGGACGCUAAAUUUAAUACAACUUUCAACAACGGAUCUCUUGGCUCUC